rnacentral:rRNA from 1 species
UUGGAGGGCAAGUCUGGUGCCAGCAGCCGCGGUAAUUCCAGCUCCAAUAGCGUAUAUUAAAGUUAUUGCAGUUAAAAAGCUCGUAGUUGAAUUUCGGGGUUCAUCCGUUGGUCGGGCUUUUUUGGUCUGUACUGGCGUGAUGGAUUCCUACCUUCUGAAUAACCAGCACGUCAUUAAUUUGGUGCGCUGGGGAAGCAGGACUGUUACCUUGAAAAAAUUAGAGUGCUUAAAGCAGGCUAUCGCCUGAAUACAUUAGCAUGGAAUAAUGAAAUAGGACGGCAUGGUUCUAUUUUGUUGGUUUCUAGGAUCACCGUAAUGAUUAAUAGGGAUAGUUGGGGGCAUUAGUAUUCAAUUGUCAGAGGUGAAAUUCUUGGAUUUAUUGAAGACUAACUUCUGCGAAAGCAUUUGCCAAGGAUGUUUUCAUUAAUCAAGAACGAAAGUUAGGGGAUCGAAGACGAUCAGAUACCGUCGUAGUCUUAACCAUAAACUAUGCCGACUAGGGAUCGGACGAUGUUAAUUUUUUAAUGACUCGUUCGGCGCCUUACGGGAAAC